GCCCCUUAUACGCUGGGCUACACACGUGCUACAAUGGGUAGUACAGAGAGUCGCAAAGCCGUGAGGUGGAGCUAAUCUCAGAAAACUAUUCUUAGUUCGGAUUGUACUCUGCAACUCGAGUACAUGAAGUUGGAAUCGCUAGUAAUCGCGAAUCAGCAAUGUCGCGGUGAAUACGUUCUCGGGUCUUGUACACACCGCCCGUCACACCACGAGAGUUGGUUGCACCUGAAGUAGCAGGCCUAACCGUAAGGAGGGAUGCUCCGAGGGUGUGAUUAGCGAUUGGGGUGAAGUCGUAACAAGGUAUCCGUACGGGAACGUGCGGAUGGAUCACCUCCUUUCUAAGGAGAAUAAGUCUUUCUCUAUUCUAUUGGUAAUGUUCUUUACAUUACUUCUGAACGUUGGAAACUAUAUAGUAGAACAAACAAGAAAAAAAUUAACUCUAACAAUUUCUUAGAGUUAGCUGUCAAAAAAAAUAGGUUAAAAUAAUUAAGGGCACACAAAGGAUGCCUAGGUAGUAAGAGCCGAUGAAGGACGUGGUAAGCUGCGAUAAGCCUAG
rnacentral:sRNA from 1 species